AGUGAACGCUGGCGGUAGGCCUAACACAUGCAAGUCGAACGGCAGCACAGUAAGAGCUUGCUCUUACGGGUGGCGAGUGGCGGACGGGUGAGGAAUACAUCGGAAUCUACUUUUUCGUGGGGGAUAACGUAGGGAAACUUACGCUAAUACCGCAUACGACCUACGGGUGAAAGCAGGGGAUCUUCGGACCUUGCGCGAUUGAAUGAGCCGAUGUCGGAUUAGCUAGUUGGCGGGGUAAAGGCCCACCAAGGCGACGAUCCGUAGCUGGUCUGAGAGGAUGAUCAGCCACACUGGAACUGAGACACGGUCCAGACUCCUACGGGAGGCAGCAGUGGGGAAUAUUGGACAAUGGGCGCCAGCCUGAUCCAGCCAUACCGCGUGGGUGAAGAAGGCCUUCGGGUUGUAAAGCCCUUUUGUUGGGAAAGAAAAGCAGCAGGUUAAUACCCCGCUGUUCUGACGGUACCCAAAGAAUAAGCACCGGCUAACUUCGUG
rnacentral:rRNA from 1 species